rnacentral:lncRNA from 1 species
CAAAUCUGCAUUUGUUUGGAAAAAUCCGUGUAUAAGUGGACCCAUGUAGUUCAAAUCCGUUCAAAAACUAUGGCACUGUAUUACAAACACACUGAUAAACACAAUCUAUAAUUUCUUCUAUUUAUGGCACUGAAUUCUUCUAAAGUAAAUAAAAAACAUUUUACUUUUUGAGUAUAUGAAAUUUCACAAAAAGUAAAAUUUCAGAGAUUGUCAAAGAAAUGUUAAUAUUCCCUUGAUAAGAAUGAAUGACAAUAUUUUCCAAAUGUUCAAGUGAACAACUUUCAAAUCCUUUUUUUUGGAAAGUGGUGUUCAGAGACCACAUUCCAAGUGCUAUUGGUGCUACAUGGUGAGCCUGAUCCUUUCAGUAACAAAGCUAGAAACUACUUCAUAGGUUAUUUUUUUCUAAGAAAUUAAUAGUAAUUUUAUAUUGUAAAGGGUUUUUAACUUUAAAAUCAUGCUUACUCCAGUGGAACUUAUAUUCUCAUGAGUGGAGACAGACUUUGAAAGUAUUACACUUUACUCAGUGAUUACUCUCCAUAUCAGAAGCAGAAAUAUAAUUUAAUUCUCGAAUGUGCUUAUGAUUUUCUCCUAUUGCAUGCAUUAGUCUUCUCAACUCUCCUUAUGCAAAGUACUGUUCAGAAAUAACACCAUCAUUCAUUCAGAUUUUGUGACAAGAGCCAGUCAAUUAAACUUGGUUAUAUCACCUUUAAUCUUUCAUAUUCUACAAAAGUGAGUAUUUCUUUUGGAUAUCCUUAUCAUCUUGGACUCACAGUGGCCAAGCAAACUUCUCAUAAAGAUGACAGAGUUUCUGCUAAUUAUCUUUAAAAAGAUUUAAUGAAUAGCAUUACAAUAAUUUAUCUUACAUUUCCUUCUGAAUAAUUACCAUUGUGACUCACUAAGAGGAAGAGGAAAAAUAGAAGACAUCUUCUAUCAUAUCCCAUUGUCCUUUUCUUCUCGAGGUAUUUAGUCAUAAUAUAAAUUAUUUUAAUGUGAAUAUUUAAUUUAAUGAAAUGAAAAUUGCAGUGAUGACAAAUGCAUACGAUUUUAACUGCAAGUAAUAAAACUCAACGCAAGACUUUUACUAAAGUAUGUAAAACACCAUCCUGAAUGAAAAUACUGUAGAAAUUUGUGGCAUGACUUUAUUAUUGAAAAAUCUCAAUCAAUAAACUAUCUGUAAUUUCAGUGAGUAUGCCAUCAAAUAAGGUGAUAUUGCCUAUUGCAGAUGUUACAAAAACAAAUUCCAAAGGCAUUUUUUCCUUUAAAGGUUGAAUAUGUUGCCAUAUAUUAACUGUUUAUAGUCAAAACCAUAGAUAAAUAUUUUUAAAUAUAUAAAAUUCAUGAAAUGAUGUAUACAAGAUGAAUACUUUAUAUUGCAUAUAUGUAUUUGUGGGCAUUAAGCAACCAUAUAUUGGCACAUAUUGAUUGACCAACUAAAUUAAAAUCAUAGUUUUCCACACACUUAAACUAUGCUUAUGU